UCACCCAAGUUGAUUUUAGCUAUUUCCUCACCUGGAUUGUUUUUUCCAUUAUUGUUACAACACUUGACCACAAACGUAUUGGCUUAUAACAAAACCCAUCUAUUAUGCCACUGUUCUGUAGGUCAAAAGUCCCAGUGAGCUUAUCUGAAUUCUCAGCUCAGGGUCUCGCAAGGCUGAAAUCAAGUUGCAGGAUAGAGGUCAUCAUUCUCUUGCUGGCUGAUAGCUGGGAGUCACUUGCAGCUUCUAGAGGCAGUCUCAGCUCUGCCAUUCCAUCUUCAACCAGCAGCGGCCAGUCAUCCAGUCCUUCUCAUGGGUGCCACAUGUGUAUCUGACUAACGUCAAAACAGAAAGCUGGACUCCUUGUACAAAAAUGUGCUGGCGAGCCAUCCAGUGACCUUUAAGAAUCAAUCAUUGCAAACGGGCAUCAGAGCAAGAGGAAAUGAUCUUCAGCUGGGCCACUUCUCUUCUGCACACACUGGCUGGCGAAGAGGCAAGCA